rnacentral:rRNA from 1 species
UACGGGAGGCAGCAGUGAGGAAUAUUGGUCAAUGGGCGUUAGCCUGAACCAGCCAAGUAGCGUGAAGGAUGACUGCCCUAUGGGUUGUAAACUUCUUUUAUAAGGGAAUAAAACGGGGAACGUGUUCCCCCUUGCAUGUACCUUACGAAUAAGGAUCGGCUAACUCCGUGCCAGCAGCCGCGGUAAUACGGAGGAUCCGAGCGUUAUCCGGAUUUAUUGGGUUUAAAGGGUGCGUAGGCGGAAUGAUCAGUCAGUUGUGAAAGUUUGAGGCUCAACCUUAAAAUUGCAGUUGAUACUGUCAUUCUUGAGUGUACAAGAGGUGGGCGGAAUUCGUGGUGUAGCGGUGAAAUGCUUAGAUAUCACGAAGAACUCCGAUUGCGAAGGCAGCUCACUGGGGUACAACUGACGCUGAGGCACGAAAGUGUGGGUAUCAAACAGGAUUAGAUACCCUGGUAGUCCACACAGUAAACGAUGAAUACUCGCUGUUUGCGAUAUACAGUAAGCGGCUAAGCGAAAGCGUUAAGUAUUCCACCUGGGGAGUACGCCGGCAACGGUGAAACUCAAAGGAAUUGACGG